rnacentral:rRNA from 1 species
CUCAACCGAGGAGGGUCGUUCGAGACUGAGUUACUAGAGUGCAGGAGAGGAAGGCGGAAUUCCUAGUGUAGCGGUGAAAUGCUUAGAUAUUAGGAAGAACACCAGUGGCGAAGGCGGUCUUCUGGCCUGCAACUGACGCUAAGGGGCGAGAGCUAGGGUAGCGAACGGGCUUAGAUAUCCCGGUAGUCCUAGCUGUAAACGAUGGAUACUGGAUAUUGGGGGCAUAAAAGCCCUCAGUGACGAAGCAAACGCGUUAAGUAUCCCGCCUGGGAAUUACGGCCGCAAGGUUAAAACUCAAAGGAAUUGACGGGGGCCCGCACAAGCAGCGGAGCGUGUGGUUUAAUUCGAAGCAACACGAAGAACCUUACCUGGGCUUGACAUGUACAUAGUAGGGAUUCGAAAGGAGACCGACCCUUCGGGGAGUG